GGAGAGUUGGCAGAGUGGUAAUGCAGCGGAUUGCUAAUCCGUCAUCCUUGAAUAGGGAUGCACGUGUUCAAAUCACGUACUCUCCGCGA
rnacentral:tRNA from 1 species